GAUGAAGAACGCAGCGAACUGCGAUAAGUAAUGUGAAUUGCAGAAUUCAGUGAAUCAUCGAGUCUUUGAACGCACAUUGCGCCCCCUGGCAUUCCGGGGGGCAUGCCUGUCCGAGCGUCAUUGCUGCCCUUCAAGCCCGGCUUGUGUGUUGGGUCGUCGUCCCCCCCGGGGGACGGGCCCGAAAGGCAGCGGCGGCACCGCGUCCGGUCCUCGAGCGUAUGGGGCUUUGUCACCCGCUCUGUAGGCCCGGCCGGCGCUUGCCGAUCAACCCAAAUUUUUAUCCAGGUUGACCUCGGAUCAGGUAGGGAUACCCGCUGAACUUAAGCAUAUCAAUAAGCUGAGGA
rnacentral:misc_RNA from 1 species